rnacentral:rRNA from 1 species
GACGAACGCUGGCGGCGUGCUUAACACAUGCAAGUCGAACGAAGUGGCGAACGGGUGAGUAACGCGUAAUCAACCUGCCCUUCAGAGGGGGCCAACAGUUGGAAACGACUGCUCAUACCGCAUACUGAAGGAGGGGAUUGCGUCUGAUUAGAGAGUUGGCGGGGUAACGGCCCACCAAGGCGAUGAUCAGUAGCCGGUCUGAGAGGAUGAACGGCCACAUGGGGACUGAGACACGGCCCAGACUCCUACGGGAGGCAGCAGUGGGGAAUAUUGCGCAAUGGACGAAAGUCUGACGGAGCAACGCCGCGUGAGUGAUGACGGCCUUCGGGUUGUAAAGCUCUGUUAGUCGGGACGCGGAACCGGAAUAGAAAGCCACGGCGAAUUACGUGCAAGAACCGCGGUAAUAC